UAGUAACGGCGAGUGAAGCGGGAUGAGCUCAAGCUUAAAAUCUCCGUGCAAUUUUUGCAUGGCGAAUUGUAGUCUAUAGAGGCGUGGUCAGUGUGGGCACUUAAGGUAAGUUCCUUGGAAAAGGACAGCAUGGAGGGUGAUACUCCCGUUCAUCCUUGAGUUGCUUGUGCGUACGACCCGUUUUCUUCGAGUCGCGUUGUUUGAGAAUGCAGCGCAAAGUAGGUGGUAAAUUCCAUCUAAAGCUAAAUAUUGGUGCGAGACCGAUAGCAUACAAGUACCGUGAGGGAAAGAUGAAAAGAACUUUGAAAAUAGAGUUAAAGAGUACCUGAAACUGCUGAAAGGGAACCAAAUCGUUUCCAGUGUCUAUAAUCCGUGGUAUAUUUCAUUGGCGAGUGUGUGUGUGCGUGUGCUAUAGCAGUGGCCUUUGGCUGCGCUUGGUGUGUGUGCUGCGUGUGCUUGCUGGUGCCCUGUGCUGUGGUGGGACGUCAAGGUCAGUUCGUAUGCUGCGGGAAAUGGCUACCGAGGAGGUAGGGCUUACGCUUGCGUUUGUCUGUUAUAUCUUGGUAGACGAGUAGUCGCGGUUGGGACUGAGGUGCCUACAACGUGCUUUUGAGUGGGCUUGGGUCUCUGUGUGCGCCGUGUGCGGAUAGCUUGCUAUGCGUGUGUGGUUGUGUGUGGAUUGAUGCGAGCCGUAACUUGUAGUCGUUCGGGACGUUGACGAAAUGGAGCGAUUUGACCCGUCUUGAAACACGGACCAAGGAGUCUAACAUAUGUGCAAGUGUUAGGGUGUGGAAACCCCAGCGCGUAAUGAAAGUAAAGGACAGCGUAAGUUGUCUGAGGUAGGAAAUGCUGUGGGCUUCGGUCUGCGGUGUGGCACUAUCGACCGAUCAUGAACCCUCGUGGUGAAAGAUUUGAGUUUGAGCACAUAUGUUGGUACCCGAAAGAUGGUGAACUAUGCCCGAGUAGGGUGAAG
rnacentral:rRNA from 1 species